UACAGGGGGGCAAGCGUUGUUCGGAAUUACUGGGCGUAAAGGGUUGUAGGCGGCCAACUAAGUCACCCGUGAAAUCCCCAGGCUUAACCUGGGAACUGCGUGUGAUACUGGAUGGCUUGAAUUCGGGAGAGGGAUGCAGAAUUCCAGGUGUAGCGGUGAAAUGCGUAGAUAUCUGGAGGAAUACCGGUGGCGAAGGCGGCAUCCUGGACCGACAUUGACGCUGAAAACCGAAAGCUAGGGAGCAAACGGG
rnacentral:rRNA from 1 species